UGGACUACACCUGUGUAGAAUAUAAAUGCUCGAUGGAUAUCCUUUAUGGCGGUGCCUCAUCACAAAUAAUACUGACAUCAUUAUGAUUCAGCAGCAAGUGCAACUGUGUAGAGGCAAUAAAGAGGUUUUAUAGAUCAUGAGGAAAUAUCCCAGCAGAACUGAGAAGUGUGCAAAAGACCCGGUUUUGGAGAGUGUCAGAUAGCCGCAGCAGGUAUGUCAGAGUUCAAAACGCAAAUUAUGAUGCAAGCCACAGUGUAAGUCAGAGGGGUAAAGACUUGUAUAAAAGUGAAUCAUGACACUUUGGUGUUUUUGAGGCUGAGAUGCUGGCAGUCAGUGACUCUCAAUGGGGCGUCAACACCUCAGAGGUUGAAUCUCAGUGCUGGGAACAGGGUCAAAUUCCAGUUGACCAUGUUUCAGUCUUGAGUCAGAGAGUUGGCUCUCAACAUUGUUAGCAUUGCUAACAAUUUUGACAUGAGAACAACAUACUGUAAGAAAGUCUGCACUCAAAAGCAC